rnacentral:rRNA from 1 species
AGCGAACGCUGGCGGCAGGCCUAACACAUGCAAGUCGAACGAACCUUUCGGGGUUAGUGGCGGACGGGUGAGUAACACGUGGGAACGUGCCUUAGGGUCGGGAAAAAUCCAGGGAAAUUGGUGCUAAAACCGAUGUGGCCUUCGGGGGGAAGAUUAAUCGCCUUUAGAGCGGCCCGCGUCUGAUUAGCUAGUUGGUUGAGGUAAUGGCUCACCAAGGCGACGAUCAGUAGCUGGUCUGAGAGGAUGAUCAGCCACAUUGGGACUGAGACACGGCCCAAACUCCUACGGGAGGCAGCAGUGGGGAAUCUUGCGCAAUGGGCGAAAGCCUGACGCAGCCAUGCCGCGUGAAUGAUGAAGGUCUUAGGAUUGUAAAAUUCUUUCACCGGGGACGAUAAUGACGGUACCCGGAGAAGAAGCCCCGGCUAACUUCGUG